GAUGAAGAACGUAGCGAAAUGCGAUAAGUAAUGUGAAUUGCAGAAUUCAGUGAACCAUCGAAUCUUUGAACGCACAUUGCGCCCGCCAGUAUUCUGGCGGGCAUGCCUGUCCGAGCGUCAUUUCAACCCUCGAGCCCCCCCGGGGGCCUCGGUGUUGGGGGACGGCACACCAGCCGCCCCCGAAAUGCAGUGGCGACCCCGCCGCAGCCUCCCCUGCGUAGUAGCACACACCUCGCACCGGAGCGCGGAGGCGGUCACGCCGUAAAACGCCCAACUUUCUUAGAGUUGACCUCGGAUCAGGUAGGAAUACCCGCUGAACUUAAGCAUAUCAAUAAGCGGAGGA
rnacentral:misc_RNA from 1 species